rnacentral:lncRNA from 1 species
CACUCUGGAAACCAAGGAAACUCCCCAGGGCUUUAAGGAAGUCACAACCUUAGGAAGAGAAAGAUAACAAGAAAAUUUGAUGUGAAAAGUGCCUUAAUAAAGUUCUGUUCAGAGCACUAUGAGAAAGUAGAGGCUGUGCGUCUAUCUGGGAUUGAAGAGGUGAGAAACAUGUUCCCAAGGGCAUGAUUCCCAUGGGCUGAAUUCUAAGAGUGAAUUGAUGUUGGCCCAAUGAAGUCUUAGUCUUAAGACAUCUUGAGCAGGAAGAAAAUAAAAUUAAAAAUGCAAAUAGUGGGCAUGUGAAUGGCAGGAAAACAGCAAGGGCAAUGGAAGCCAAACCACAUAAUGCUAAGGAGUGUGAAUUUUAUUCUAUAAAAUAAUCUAGGUCUUUGUGAAGAAAUCUCAACAGGUAAACGAUGUGAUUAGACUUGCUAUUAGUAUUAUUACUUACACUUCCAAUGACAUGGACAUGAACUGAAAGGGAUAAGCUGGGUUGGAGGCAAGAGACCAAAGUUGGGAUGUCUUCAUCCCAUUGUGAAAUGGUAAAAGACUUAAUUAUGGAAGGUGCUUUGGAGAUGGAAAGAAGUGUGGUCUUGGUGAUUACGUGGAAUUGGAAAGAAAGGAGUUGGGCAUGUCAAGAGUGUCUAUUGAAUUUCUAACUUGGAUGACCAUGUGAAUGACCUACAUUUCAACCAUACACUGUAGUUAGGUUUCCUGAAUGAUUCCACUAUCUAUGGUGACCUGAAAUAUCAGGAGAGCCUUGCUUAGGAUACACAUGAGUCUCAUUUGGGGCUUACAGAGGUUAUUAUCAAAGUGUAUGUGUCCACCAGGCAAUUGAAUAUGUUGGUCUACAACUCAGAAGACAGAUUAUAUAGGAAGACAUCCUAACUCUAGAGGUCCUGAGAUGGGCUUCAGGGACCUCUCAGCUUUUUAAAAUUCUUACAAGAUUGUUUAUUCUCAUAGCUACAUUAAUAUGGGAAAAUUCAUCAUAUAAAAUAGAUUUCCAAUGGGGUCAAUAAUCAAAGAACUACCUAUAUAGAUAGUAAAGGAGACUCAAAUGUGACAGUCUAAGCAUUAUCAAUGUUUAUGAUAUUGGAGUUGGCCUAAAAUGUGAGGACAUCCAUAAUUUUUCUCCAUUUCUAUUUCUAAACCUGUGCUGUUUUACCAAAUCCCUCUUCUCUGGGGAAAUAGUUUUACUGCUUUCCAAGGAACCCAUGUUCUUUCCUUCCUCCAAAUAUUACCCUCUUGACCACCUGUCAAUUUCUUACUGCAUGUCCUAAUCUCACUCUACUUAAAGAUACAAUUUGUGAAGUUUAUGGUUAUUUUCCUUUCAUCAACCCGAAGAACCCCCUCCCUCCUCUAAAUUUCAGCCAGCCUCUUGUCCAUAGGUUUCAUUUUGCCCUUACAACAUACCUAGCACUUAAUAAUGUUUCAAAAUAAAUACAUAAAUUUUACCUUGAGAAAGCUCUUGAUCUGAUUUUGUGUGGUUCCUUAAUGAUCUGUGUAAGUGUAUGUAUAUAUGUGUACAUUUGUGUAUAUGUGCAAAUUAUUUGCUAUUUUUCUUUUAUUAUUAUUAUUAUUUAAUAGUUAUUUCCCCACUACAAUUUUUUUUCUACUAUCCAGUAUGGUGACCGAGUUACACAUACAUAUACACAUUCUAUUUUUGCACAUUAUCAUGCUCCAUCAUAAGUGACUAGACAUAGUUCCCAGUGCUGCACAGCGAUCUCAUUGCUAAUCCAUUCCAAAGGCAAUCAUUUGUAUCUAUUAACCCCAAGCUCCCCAACCACCCAACUCUCUCCUCUUCCCCCUUGGCAACCAUAAGUCUAUCCUCCAAGUCCAUGAUCUUCUUUUCUGUGGAAAGGUUCAUUUGUGCCUUAUAUUAGAUUCCAGAUAUAAGUGAUAUCACAUGGUAUUUGUCUUUCUCUUUCUGACUUAUUUCACUCAGGAUGAGAGUCUCUAGUUCCAUCCAUGUUGCUGCAAAUGGCAUUAUUUCAUUCUUUUUUAUGUCUAAGUAGUAUUCCAUUGUGUGUGUGUGUGUGUGUUUAUACACCACACCUUCCUAAUGCAAUCAUCUGUUGAUGGACAUUUGGGUUGUUUCCAUGUCUUGGCUAUUGUGAAUAGAGCUGCAAUGAACAUGCAGGUGCAUAUAUCUUUUUUAAGGAAAGUUUUGUCCAGAUAUAUGCCCAAGAGUGGGAUUACUGGGUCAUAUGGUAGUUCUGUGUAUAGAUUUCUAAGGUAUCUCUAUACUGAUCUCAUAUAUUACCUUUAAGUAUAAUUUGGAACACAUAGUAAAUAUUUACAAGGUAAGAGAUCAGAAGAAUAAAGAAAAGGAUGAAGGGAAAUAGGGAGCACACCAAAUUCAGUAGAAAGUGUUGCAAGCCGAGAUUUGGAAAAGGAAGUACCAAUUUUGUCUCAUCCAUUUUUAAAAUAUUUGACCUCUAAAAUGAAUAAAAAUUUGUCUCCCUUAUUUAUAACAUGAAAAUGUUGGGAAAAUUAAAUUAUAUAAAUCCUUUUAAUAAUAUACAAAUAUAUUUUAUCAAGUGUACUUAAGAUAAACGUAUUAUAUGUGGAACAAAGAAGAAUUCCUAUUAAUAAAUAUAUAUUAAUUAAUCAUAGGAAAUUUAAUGAUAGUUCAUAAUAUUUUAUUUUGUUUCCUAAGUGUAGUUUUAAAUGAUUAUAUUAUUUUUUAAUAAUGAAAUUGUUGAAUGAUUUUUUCAAUUGAUUCCAAUUCCAAAUGAAACAAAUGUGAACAGAGUAAAACAUUUAGCAAAAUCUAAACAACUAAGCUACUAAAUUUGUGGAAGCAGUUAAUAAUUCUAGCCAGGAUGAGUUAAAAAUCAUCAUCCCUUAAUUCUGGUGGUAAUAAACCAUUUUUAGAAGAAGUUAAAUGUAAGUGUAUAACAAUUUACAUAGAAAGACUAUUUCUAGAAAUAGAUCAAAAAUACAUUCAUGAUAAAGCAACAUAAUUUUUUGAAAGAAAUAAACUAAAUUUAGAGACUGUGCCAAGUAUUAUUCUAGAAUAAGAAUUUUUUUUUUUUUUUUUUUUUUUUUUUUGUCUUUUCUAGGGCCGCACACAUGGCAUAUGGAGGUUCCCAGGCUAGGGGGCGUAAUCAGUGCUGUAGCUGCCAGCCUAUGCCAGAGCCGCAAGAAUGCCAGAUCUGAGCCACGUCAGUGAACUACACCACAGCUGAAGGCAACGCCAGAGCCUUAACCCACUGAGCAAGGCCAGGGAUCGAACCCACAACGUCAUGGUUCCUGGUUGGAUUUGUUAACCACUAAGCCAUGACAGGAACUCCAAGAAUAUUUACUUUUAAAAAAGAUUUUUAAUUUAUAUUUUAUAUAACAGUUUGUAUUAGAAUAUGUAUUAAAUACUCAUAAACCAGGACAUGACUUUACAUAUAUGUCUGCACAUCUGUGAUCAGUGCUCUGUUCUUCAGUUAAUCAAUACUCAGAGCCUUUGCAAUAAGUGCAUCAAAGGGAUUGAUCAAAAUAUUUAUUUUCCAUAUUUUUUCUGUAUCUUUUAUUCAAAAUUUGAGUCCAUGGAGCCUUGCUUCUUGAUAACUUUUCCAGAAACAAAGUAAUUUUUUUUUCACACAUAUGUGAAAUAAGUCACUAAAUUUGGGAUGGUUAAAAAAAGGUGUCAGGAAGGAAGAGGGUAAGAACAAUGUGAAGAUUAGAGCAGGAAGAGGUGUUUUUUGAAUGAUCUCUUCGGAGUGAUUACAGAAGCAGAUUCUAAUUAAGUCCCAUUCUCAGAGUUGUAGAUUAGUAGAGAAGGGGCCUGAGGGCCUGUUUGUUGUGAGAGAGAGACAGACAGUGAGGAAUGUUCCCACCAUGCCCUGGAGCCAUGAACCUGAAACUACACACAUCCCCUGUCCUUGCCUUCAUGGCCAUGACAAGACUGCAGAUUCCAACACAUAUACAUUUUGAGGGGACUUCUCAAGGAAAGAAAAAAAAAAAUGAAUUACAAAUACAAAAUUAGUUAUGAUUAGAAAUAUUCAUUUAGAAUAAGAAAAUACAUUAGAGGUUUUUGAGACUUGGAAAUUCAAGUCAAUUUUUCUGUGGUCACCUUAGGAGUUUGCUGAAAUGCUUACAGACAAUGGUUCCAAAGGCAAGGUGGCUUUUCCUCACCUGAUUAAGUCUCAACCCAGCACCUCCCAGUGCUCACAGGGACCCACUCAUAGGACCCAAGGAGCUUAAGCUUUGUGGUCUUGGCAAGAACUCUGCCUCUGGCACAAAGAAUCCAUAAGAAGCCAUUGGCUCCACAUUCCAUUCGCCCCAUGUAAGAGACUCAGACAAUGCUCUGCGAAAAAGGCAUCUGUACUUGGAAACACCGGUUUCCCAGCAAGGAAAAAACAUUGUUAUGAAAUGGACAGUGAGCUUGUAAUUGUUCCUACAGCUUGACUGCCUUACUUUGUACCUGUCACAAUCCCUGUGAAGACAAGUUUCAGGCCUGUGUGCACAAUAUGGUAGGUAUGUCCCCACCAGCCCACAACUUGGAGCUCAGGCUGCCAACAUUACAGAUGAAAUUACUCCAAACCCAGCAGCCUGAACUGUUUAGUAAUCACAGGGCUGUUAUAGGCCUCAUCAUGGAGUUUCAGAUGUGAGGAUAUAAAUUGAUUGGUCUGAACCUAUGCCAACUGUUGAUGAGAGUUAAGAAGUCACAACACCUCUCUGUCUGUUCUGACACUCUGACAGGUCAAUAACAUUGAAUUUGCACUUCAGAAGUAGAGCAUUAUUUAAAAAAAAAAUAAUCCAGUUGCUUUGGUAGCUGACAGACAAGAGUGUCAAAGAAUGUGAUAAGGGUGUGAACUGUCUAUUGCAGCCUCCUAAACAGGAAGAAUGGAGCAUCUCAGAGUGGAAAGGUUCAGAAAGCUCACCUUGCAUUUAAGUGGAAGGACAAGACAAAAGAAGGCCAGAAAGAUAGUAGUAAUGGGAUGCAGAAUAUCAGAAUCCAAGUAGUCUAGCGGAAAUAGGGUUUUCGGAUAUAACAGAGGACAUUCAUUUACCUUCCAAAUUCGAUAUACACUUAUAACUUUUUUAGUGUAAGUGUAUCCCAAAUGUUGCAUGGGAUAUAUUU